rnacentral:lncRNA from 1 species
GUUUAAGUUAGUGGGCAGGUAGAAAAAUCCGCUGGUACUGUAAUAGAGGGUAAUGUCACUUUAAGACAUGUGAUACUUUACCGAGCAGGGAUGUAUCGAAACAGACUACUGAUACUUCAGGGCACCGUCUAGCAGCAGUCCAGCUCUCUCGGAACAGAGCGAGUUGCCUGAUUGCACUGAAGGCAGGGGAACAGGGAUGGUCCCUCAUUAAGACGAAACUGAUUUUCAUCUGCAAGUACCCCGGGAACUAUACAUUACCUCAAGAUCCCUCCAAAGGGCUCAUCGCACAGAGGGACCACUAGCAGAUGAUUUAAAGGUGAAGAUGACAAGGUUUCCACCCCUCAAACCUUGGCUACUUUUCUGACAACGCGAUCUGAGCUCUGAUGUCUUCUUUAUUCUGGAAAUAGGAUUGAUAACAAGAAAAAGAAAGAAAGAAAUCGCUCUCCUUUUUUAAUCCCGAUAAAGAAGAUUAUUGAAAACCUCUGAUUGUGGUCCCUACACAUGGAUUUUAAAAAGUGUUAGAUCUUUCCAAUGAACACUAAUAGAGCAUUCUGCUCCUGGUUGGAUUACUCAGAGUAUGGCUAUGGUCUCUGCAAUGUCCUGGGUCCUGUAUUUGUGGAUAAGUGCUUGUGCAAUGCUCCUCUGUCAGGGAUCUCUUCAUCACACUUUCCAACAGCAUCACCUGCACAGACCAGGAGAAAAUGAGGAAGGCCCCCAGCAUGUGAUGUGGCAGACCUAUGGAGGAUUUGGACAAGAGUCUCCCAGGAUAGGUACGUGUUUGUGGUUCAUGAUCUUGUAUCAGUUGGGGAAUUUACAAAUUGCUACUGUCACCAAUUCUUUUGAGUAUUUGAGCAUUUUCUAUAAACUAAAAACAUAAUGUCUCAAGCACAUAUGGACUACUAUUUUUCAAAUGUCUACUUGUUUAAGAAAUAUAUAUGUUCAUUUAAAAACAUUCCUGAAUCAUUGUUCUGAAUUCAUAAUGGAUUUCUGUCUUUGUGUAUUUUUUUUCCUGAUGCCACAAGGACUGUCAUGGAGGGUC